rnacentral:rRNA from 1 species
UACGAAGGGGGCUAGCGUUGCUCGGAAUCACUGGGCGUAAAGCGCUCGUAGGCGGUUUGUUAAGUCGGGGGUGAAAUCCUGGAGCUCAACUCCAGAACUGCCUUCGAUACUGGCAAUCUUGAGUCCGGGAGAGGUGAGUGGAACUCCGAGUGUAGAGGUGAAAUUCGUAGAUAUUCGGAAGAACACCAGUGGCGAAGGCGGCUCACUGGCCCGGUACUGACGCUGAGGUGCGAAAGCGUGGGGAGCAAACAGG